CGCCGUCGAGGUCCGAUUCGGUCUCGGCCUCCUCUAAGGCGGCCUCCGCGCCGUCGAGGCGCUCGGAGAGCGUCUCCUCGGUCAGCGGC
rnacentral:tRNA from 1 species